UACGAAGGGGGCUAGCGUUGCUCGGAAUCACUGGGCGUAAAGCGCACGUAGGCGGAUCGUUAAGUCGGAGGUGAAAUCCUGGAGCUCAACUCCAGAACUGCCUUCGAUACUGGCGAUCUUGGAGUCCGGGAGAGGUGAGUGGAACUCCGAGUGUAGAGGUGAAAUUCGUAGAUAUUCGGAAGAACACCAGUGGCGAAGGCG
rnacentral:rRNA from 1 species